rnacentral:rRNA from 1 species
GACGAACGCUGGCGGCGUGCUUAACACAUGCAAGUCGAGCGAAGAGUUUCUGGUGCUUGCACCUGCAAAACUUAGCGGCGAAUGGGUGAGUAAUACGUAAACAACCUGCGUCAUAGACUUGACCUACUAUUGGUAACGAUAACAACUACUGGAUAACAGCACUACAUGGAUGGUUGAGGUUAAAAAGUUGGUUUUGCUAACACUUCGAGAUGGCUUUGCGGUGCAUUAGCUAGUUGGCGGGGUAAGGGCCUAACAAGGCGACGAUGCGUAGCCGACCUGAGAGGGUGAUCGGCCACACUGGGACUGAGACACGGCCCAGGCUCCUACGGGAGGCAGCAGUAGGGAAUCUUCCGCAAUGGGCGAAAGCCUGACGGAGCAACGCCGCGUGAGUGAAGAAGGAUUUCGGUUCGUAAAGCUCUGUUGUUAGGGAAGAAUGAUUGUGUAGUGUCUAUACACAGUAGAGACGGUACCUAGCCAGAAAGCCACGGCUAACUACGUG